AAAAUUCAUUAUUUGAAAAUUCUCUUUUUUUUUCCUCUCUCUGAUGGUCCAUCUCCAUGUUCAUCAUCAUCACUAUUUGCUACUGCUUUCUUCCACCACAAUAUUGGCAACACUUCUUCUCUAUUUCUACUUCAUCUGUUCCUACCCAGGCCUAUGGAUAUCUCAUGGCUAGAUGACAACUCUUUUAGUUUUCUUACUUGAUAGGAUUAGCAUUGAAGCCCAAAUUAGAACAAUUGAAGUUGCCCUACGAAUGACUAUGGGAGAAAAAGUAUAGUUGCAUGAGUUGGGGAGAUUUUUUUUUUAUUAUAGAAUAUGGAGGUUUAUUUAUCAAAUACAAUGAUGAGGUCAAUUUGAAUGUAAAUGGGGGAGGAUGGGGAGAAUUGUUCUUUCCCCUGAAGUUUAACUUUGCAAACUCUCUUGUUAGUUUUAUGAGUUUUUUAAUUUUUUGAGCUCUUCUUUAUAUCAUCAUAAUAGAGGGAAAAGAUUGUAUCAUGUAUGAGCUUUGUUUUUUUUUUUAGCUCUUUUUUAUCAUGGUAGAGGGAAAGGAGAUGUUGAUUGUAAGUGACUAUAAUAGAAAGGAAGUGCAAAAAUGUUGGUGAACCUCUUUAACGUUA